rnacentral:rRNA from 1 species
GAUGAACGCUGGCGGCGUGCCUAAUACAUGCAAGUCGAGCGUACAGACGAGGAGCUUGCUCCUUCGACGUUAGCGGCGGACGGGUGAGUAACACGUAGGUAACCUACCUAUAAGACUGGGAUAACUUCGGGAAACCGGAGCUAAUACCGGAUAAUAUUUCGAACCGCAUGGUUCGAUAGUGAAAGAUGGCUUUGCUAUCACUUAUAGAUGGACCUGCGCCGUAUUAGCUAGUUGGUAAGGUAACGGCUUACCAAGGCAACGAUACGUAGCCGACCUGAGAGGGUGAUCGGCCACACUGGAACUGAGACACGGUCCAGACUCCUACGGGAGGCAGCAGUAGGGAAUCUUCCGCAAUGGGCGAAAGCCUGACGGAGCAACGCCGCGUGAGUGAUGAAGGUCUUCGGAUCGUAAAACUCUGUUAUUAGGGAAGAACAAACGUGUAAGUAACUGUGCACGUCUUGACGGUACCUAAUCAGAAAGCCACGGCUAACUACGUG